GGCGCGAGAAGCUUGAGCUAUGGCCGAAGGUUUAGCGGCCAACCGUUUUCGUUCUCCCAAGUGCGGAGAGGACGAAAAGACAUUGGUUAAAGCCAGCAUCCCAAAGUCUACAAUGUACAGGAGUACAGGUUAGCAAAGUUUGCAAUCUUUUAUGGUCAGAAAUAAAGUUUCUGAGAAGGAAGAAACGGUCAACAUUCAGAGUAUGGAGUCGGAGUUUAAUAAAGUAGGCCAAGGCUUAAGUUAAAUUUUACACUCUGCAUCAUUCAUUUUCAAAUUGUGAGGUUAACAUAAUUGUAACUAAAAAAAAGUAGGACUACCUGCUGUUUCCUUGGCUUGAUUUGGUUUCCCUGAUUGAACCAAUUGCCCAAUUGUUUGAUUAAAAGUAUGAUAAAUUACGUUGUCAUUGAUGUUAUUGUUCUAUAUGGGUCACAUGCACGGGUCUUGAUGAGUUUAAGAACCUCAUAUGAAGACUUCAUCGAUGUCAAGCGUGGCCAUAACUGCAAAGGUUUACAAGAGUGGGGACGAAGGUGACAGCGCCUGUUAAAUUCCAGGACACCAUUUCAAUCGGUGACUACUGCGCUGAAAAUACUGUUAAGGACAGUUCGUAUGUUCGCAAGGCAGUGGUUGUCCACAGUGGCACUUACUGCACAAACGGCCAUAACACUGCUUAUUGCUCAGAGAAUAGGCAGUGGUUCAACAUAGAUGAUGUCAUUGUAAGUACAUUAGCAAUAAUGUCUUGGUUGUUUCGUGAAUAUGGAUCACUAUCAGCCGAUUUGUGGUUUAUUGUUGGGGCUCUUGCGUACAUACACACUUCUCGGUCCCGUGAAUAUGGAUCACUAUCAGCCGAUUUGUGGUUUAUUGUUGGAGCUCUUGCGUACAUACACACUUCUCGGUCCCGUGAAUAUGGAUCACUAUCAGCCGAUUUGUGGUUUAUUGUUGGAGCUCUUGCGUACAUACACACUUCUCGGUCCCGUAAAUAUGGAUCACUAUCAGCCGAUUUGUGGUUUAUUGUUGGAGCUCUUGCGUACAUACACACUUCUCGGUCCCGUGAAUAUGGAUCACUAUCAGCCGAUUUGUGGUUUAUUGUUGGAGCCCUUGCGUACAUACACACUUCUCGGUCCCGUGAAUAUGGAUCACUAUCAGCCGAUUUGUGGUUUAUUGUUGGAGCUCUUGCGUACAUACACACUUCUCGGUCCCGUGAAUAUGGAUCACUAUCAGCCGAUUUGUGGUUUAUUGUUGGAGCUCUUGCGUACAUACACACUUCUCGGUCCCGUGAAUAUGGAUCACUAUCAGCCGAUUUGUGGUUUAUUGUUGGAGCUCUUGCGUACAUACACACUUCUCGGUCCCCCUUGCCGAAGUGCUCGCCAGCAGGGCAUACAUGCUCUUGUGCGAAAAAACAGACACAGCGAAGUAUACCAUAUUCCGGUUCGGAGACCAAAUCUCAUUCACAUUAUUCUUGGGGAUUUACUUUAAAUCAAAACGUUAUUUUACUUAGGUAUUGACUAGUGAAUUCGUUAAAACCCAGAGUAGUAGACCAGCAGACGUGGCAGCAGACAGAUACGAAAAAUGUUGUUAAAAAACGCGGUUUGUUAUUUCGUGCCUGAGUAUUCCAUUGCCAAUGUACUCACAUUAGUUUAGAAUGAAUAGGAAGUGAAGCAAAAUUUCGUCAAGCGUUAGGGCUACGAGGACGAAAAUUUCAAGAAAUGGCGGUUUAUCUGAACCGAAAACCAUGGAACUUUAUUUACAAAGAUCUUGCGAGGGCAAGGGAAUCAGUGUUUAUAAGGGGGACGUAGACGAGAUAGGGAUCAAGGCAGGAACCCGUGUAAGAUGCCAAAUGUUCAGGGGUGUGACCAUCACAAGACAGUCGUUAAGUCGUUUAGCUUGUCCGGGCAAGACAAGCCAGUAUGUUAGCGAUUUUUCGCAAUAUUGGCUGAAUGACGAGGUAAGUGCUCAACAACUUCUUAGUAAACGCAAAAUCGCGCUGUGUGAGCUUCUGUCGGGACUGCGAUGUGCUCUUCGAUGAGUCCUAAUGUUGUAACACAAAGCAUGCUUUACAACUGGGAUUUGUAGUUAAAAAUACAUAAAAAAGUAUCGCCGUAUAAUAUAGAGAUUUAUUUAUGCUAUAUCAAAUCGUUGACGGGUUUCUAUCGCUACUUGCAGAAGAAUACGAGCAAAAGACUAUUCUAGAUCCCUCUGGAGUUCAAGCUUUCACCUUUGUGUUUAACAGGGGGAAAAAGUCUACAUCUUCAGUAGCUUCCUCCAUAGAAAGUUAUUGAAUGGAAAUAAAUCCGCAGCAAACAUGGUGUAUAAGGUAAAUGAAGAUCUUUUCUCAAAAAAUCUCUGCUUCAUCCCUAUCAAUACGGGACUACACUGGACAGGGCUGGUAUAAAAAAGAUAUGUCUCCAAAUGGUAUAUCUAGAGAAAGACACUAAUUAAUCAUUAAUAAUUACAGGUUGUCAACCUGGCAGAAAAAAGUUCGAGUUAUUUGAAUAAAAUCUAUCCAUCGCAUAGCCAAA